GACGAACGCUGGCGGCGUGCUUAACACAUGCAAGUCGAACGAAGAGCGAUGGAAGCUUGCUUCUAUCAAUCUUAGUGGCGAACGGGUGAGUAACGCGUAAUCAACCUGCCCUUCAGAGGGGGACAACAGUUGGAAACGACUGCUAAUACCGCAUACGAUCUAAUCUCGGCAUCGAGGAUAGAUGAAAGGUGGCCUCUACAUGUAAGCUAUCACUGAAGGAGGGGAUUGCGUCUGAUUAGCUAGUUGGAGGGGUAACGGCCCACCAAGGCGAUGAUCAGUAGCCGGUCGGAGAGGAGGAACGGCCACAUUGGGACUGAGACACGGCCCAGACUCCUACGGGAGGCAGCAGUGGGGAAUCUUCCGCAAGGGACGAAAGGCUGACGGAGCAACGCCGCGUGAGUGAGGACGGCCUUCGGGUUGUAAAGCUCUGUUAAUCGGGACGAAAGGCCUUCUUGCGAAUAGUGAGAAGGAUUGACGGUACCGGAAUAGAAAGCCACGGCUAACUACGUG
rnacentral:rRNA from 1 species